CCGAGUCCGAGCUGUCCUCACAGCCGCUGCCGUCCAGGUUCAUCUGGAGGAGUUGGUCGAUGGUGGCGUCCACGGCACCGUUGUUGGCCCUCAAAACGCACUCGAUGAUGUCAUAGUCCAUAUUGGGGAACAUGGUCUUGAAGUCCUCCAUGGCCUGGUUGAACUCCAGCCGGCGCACCUGCCUGGCGGGGCGGCUGUUGUUGAGCUCCUGUGCCGAGGAGCCGCCGCGUGAGCCACCAUUGCUGCUGCUGCGCCGAAAGAGGCUCGUCAUGGCGGUGGUCGUGGUGAGGUGGGCACUUCGUCACGGGGCACGGCCCCGGCUGCCGGCCGGGAGCAUGGGUGGGCGGCGGGGGCACUGCUCCCCACAGCCAGAGCUCCACACGUCAGCCCCCGGCGCGCUGCAGCAUCCCAGCACCUGCGGGCACAGGGAGAUGUCACAAAGUCACCUCUGGUGAGACGUGGGGCCCCAAGGAUGGGGGCGGCUUUGAGCCCCCCAGAGCCAGGACCAGCAGCUGGACUGAAGCACAAGCCCCAGUGCGUGGCCAGGGAACUGCAGGCAGGGGCUGCACGAGGACACUGCUGGUGUGAAGAAAGCACCCAGGGCACAGCAAGAUCUCAGAGGGGGAAAUUCAAUUGAACUCAAACUAUCCAACUGCACCCCCGUGUGUGCAGCACGUCCCCAGGACGGCAUCCAGGAGCUCAGGUCGCCGUGCCAGGCGCCGCACAAACCAAACACAGCGAGGGGAGAAAAAUGGUACCACUUCCACUGCAGAGGGCCCCACAGAUUGAACAUUCGCAGGUCUGACGUUUGUUUAUAAACACAGUGAAAUCUCUCUUUAAAAUAAAAGAUGGAGUCAUCUCAGUGCAGGGGGCUAAAGCAUUUUGCAGCACAGCAAAUCGACCCUUGGGAAAAGCCACCAAAUCCAAGAUUAACAUUCGCUCUAAAACCAUAAACAGAUUAUAUACAGCUACUGCCUCUCAUUUGGAAAUGCAGGGACAAAUUCAGUUCUGGAUUAACUCCGCCGUUUAAAAAGAAUUACCCCAAGAACACUUUUGAUCCCUAAUAUCAUUUUCAAAGUCUUUUUCCCAAGUAGCAGGCAGAGAGUUCAAGAUAACUGUCCCUACAUUUGUAUUUAAUUGAGAAGAACAUGCCAAGCACAUUUCUUAGUAAAACACUGCAUAAUCAGAUUGAAACCCAUUAAGCAGAGCGGCCGCCUCUGAAGGUCACCCGGUGCCCCACGCCCUGCACAGGGCCACGCUGCACGUGGGAGCCCAGCCCGGGGAUCACCGGGGAGCCUCAUCCCAUCCCUGUCGGUCAGGCUCUGCUCUGGCACGCUGGGAGCGGUUACGAGGCUUUGGGCAACUCGGUUACGUUGAGCCCACACCAGAUAGCGUGACUGGGAGCAGCUGCCUGCAGAAUAAUUGAAAGCUUCUGGUCCUAAGAUGAAAAAAAUGAGGGAUGGGGACAUCUGAAUGCCAAAAAGGCUCCACUGCACGUCUGGCUCUGAGCAACACCAAGGGACUGCACCGUGAAGACAUCCUGCUGAUGAUGUGGAGAAAUGAAAAGCACUACAUCAUCGUGAGCUAAAAUCUGGAGAAAAGCAAGUCACCUAUUGGCACGACUUAACUAGAAAGCUGAAAGUUCCACGCCCAGGAUCCUCCUCUGUGCCUGUGCUUAGGGUGGGAAGCAGAAUCUCCACUGCUGGCUGCUGCCUCGAUGCCAGCAAGGGGCUGGGAAGGCGCCAGGAAAAGCAAAAUCCUUUAGAUUGCCCAAAAAGGAAGGAAGAAAGCUGGCAGCCAACUGUGACCCGAGGCGAGGGC
rnacentral:lncRNA from 1 species